AAAGGCCUACGGGACGCAGCAGUGAGGAAUAUUGGUCAAUGGCCGGAAGGCCGAACCAGCCAAGCCGCGUGGGGGACGAAGGUGCCAAGCAUUGUAAACUUCUUUUGUCAAGGGACAAAAUCAGGCUCGAGAGCCUGACCGAGGGUACUUGAAGAAAAAGCAUCGGCUAACUCCGUGCCAGCAGCCGCGGUAAUACGGAGGAUGCGAGCGUUAUCCGGAUUUAUUGGGUUUAAAGGGUGCGUAGGCGGACUGUUAAGUCAGCGGUAAAAGCCCGGGGCUCAACCCCGGCGAGCCGUUGAAACUGG
rnacentral:rRNA from 1 species